CCAUCCUUGCGAACUCUGCGGCGAACCUGAGCUCUGUGUUCUCCUGCUGUAGUCUUCCAACUUCCUUCUGAUGAAUCUUCAUCUGCCUGAAGUAGUGGUCUCUCUCUGCCAUGUAAUGAUCUCUCUCAGCCCUGAUCUUUGCUUUCUCCGCUUCCCACUCUGCAGCGAGGACUCUGGCUCUCUCAUCCCUCUGAUCCCUGACUAGGAUUUGCCUCCUCUUCUCAUCUUCAAUCACCUUUGAUGCUCUGAACAGCUUCUCCUUUGUGAUGUCAUGCUCCCGGUUGGAUGAUGCUAAAGCUUGGCUGAUCUUCCC
rnacentral:lncRNA from 1 species